GAGAGCAAAUGUUUAAGCCGUCCUUGUCUACAAUGCUUUCAGAGAAUUCAAUAGUCGUUACGGUCUCACCAGCUGAUUCAGUGUUGCUUGCAACAAAAAAGAUGCUUGAACACAAACUAAGUGCAACCGUUGUAACAGUUGAAAAUAAACCUUGUGGGAUACUGACUUCAAGGGAUAUUUUAAUGCGUGUAAUUGCACCAAAUCUUUCUCCUGAAGCUAUUCCCGUGGAGAAGGUUAUGACUCCAAAUCCAGAAUGUGGA
rnacentral:misc_RNA from 1 species